rnacentral:rRNA from 1 species
AUUGAACGCUGGCGGCAGGCUUAACACAUGCAAGUCGAGCGGAGAUGAGGUGCUUGCACCUUAUCUUAGCGGCGGACGGGUGAGUAAUGCUUAGGAAUCUGCCUAUUAGUGGGGGACAACAUUCCGAAAGGAAUGCUAAUACCGCAUACGUCCUACGGGAGAAAGCAGGGGAUCUUCGGACCUUGCGCUAAUAGAUGAGCCUAAGUCGGAUUAGCUAGUUGGUGGGGUAAAGGCCUACCAAGGCGACGAUCUGUAGCGGGUCUGAGAGGAUGAUCCGCCACACUGGGACUGAGACACGGCCCAGACUCCUACGGGAGGCAGCAGUGGGGAAUAUUGGACAAUGGGGGGAACCCUGAUCCAGCCAUGCCGCGUGUGUGAAGAAGGCCUUAUGGUUGUAAAGCACUUUAAGCGAGGAGGAGGCUACUGAGACUAAUACUCUUGGAUAGUGGACGUUACUCGCAGAAUAAGCACCGGCUAACUACGUGCCAGCAGCCGCCGUAAGAC